UCCCUGGUGGCUCAGACGGUAAAGCGUCUGCCUACAAUGCAGGAGACCCGGGUUCGAUCCCUGGGUUGGGAA
rfam:TPA: Bos taurus chromosome 17, whole genome shotgun sequence.